UGCGGGGUGGAGCAGUUGGUAGCUUGUUGGGCUCAUAACCCAAAGGUCGCAGCGUUCGAGUCCUGCCCCCGCUA
rnacentral:tRNA from 1 species